GAUGAACGCUGGCGGCGUGCCUAAUACAUGCAAGUCGAGCGAACAGACGAGGAGCUUGCUCCUCUGACGUUAGCGGCGGACGGGUGAGUAACACGUGGAUAACCUACCUAUAAGACUGGGAUAACUUCGGGAAACCGGAGCUAAUACGGGAUAAUAUAUUGAACCGCAUGGUUCAAUAGUGAAAGACGGUUUUGCUGUCGCUUAUAGAUGGAUCCGCGCCGCAUUAGCUAGUUGGUAAGGUAACGGCUUACCAAGGCGACGAUGCGUAGCCGACCUGAGAGGGUGAUCGGCCACACUGGAACUGAGACACGGUCCAGACUCCUACGGGAGGCAGCAGUAGGGAAUCUUCCGCAAUGGGCGAAAGCCGGACGGAGCAACGCCGCGUGAGUGAUGAAGGUCUUCGGAUCGUAAAACUCUGUUAUUAGGGAAGAACAAAUGUGUAAGUAACUAUGCACGUCUUGACGGUACCUAAUCAGAAAGCCACGGCUAACUACGUG
rnacentral:rRNA from 1 species